rnacentral:sRNA from 1 species
UAGCAAUGUGCCGGAACAUCCUUCGGGG